AAGUCGUAACAAGGUUUCCGUAGGUGAACCUGCGGAAGGAUCAUUAUUGAAAUAAACCUGAUGGGUUGUUGCUGGUUCUCUAGGGAGCAUGUGCACGCCUUGUCAUCUUUAUAUCUCCACCUGUGCACCUUUUGUAGACCUUCCAGGUCUAUGUUGCUCCAUUUACCCCAAUGUAUGUUAAUAGAAUGUUGUGUUUAUAAAAUCUAUACAACUUUCAGCAACGGAUCUCUUGGCUCUCGCAUCGAUGAAGAACGCAGCGAAAUGCGAUAAGUAAUGUGAAUUGCAGAAUUCAGUGAAUCAUCGAAUCUUUGAACGCACCUUGCGCUCCUUGGUAUUCCGAGGAGCAUGCCUGUUUGAGUGUCAUUAAUAUAUAUAUCAACCUUCUCUUGUUGGAGUGGUUUGGAUGUGGGGGUUUGCUGGCCUCUUAAAAGGUUCAGCUCCCUUGAAAUGCAUUAGCAGAACGGACCUGUUCAUUGGUGUGAUAACUAUCUACGCUAUUGAAUGUGAGGGGAUGUUCAGCUUUCUAACUGUCCUUGGACAAUUUAUCAUUUUAUGUGACCUCAAAUCAGGUAGGACUACCCGCUGAACUUAAGCAUAUCAAUAAGCGGAGGAAAAGAAACUAACAAGGAUUCCCCUAGUAACUGCGAGUGAAGCGGGAAAAGCUCAAAUUUAAAAUCUGGCGGUCU
rnacentral:rRNA from 1 species